rnacentral:rRNA from 1 species
UACGGAGGAUGCGAGCGUUAUCCGGAUUUAUUGGGUUUAAAGGGUGCGCAGGCGGGAGAUUAAGUCGGCGGUGAAAUUUUGCAGCUCAACUGUAAAAGUGCCUUCGAUACUGGUUUCCUUGAGUGUGGAUGAAGUAGGCGGAAUUUGUGGUGUAGCGGUGAAAUGCUUAGAUAUCACGAGGAACUCCGAUUGCGCAGGCAGCUUACUAAACCACUACUGACGCUCAGGCACGAAGGCGUGGGGAUCAAACAGGAUUAGAUACCCCCGUAGU